rnacentral:rRNA from 1 species
GAUGAACGCUGGCGGCGUGCCUAAUACAUGCAAGUAGAACGCUGAAGGAAGGAGCUUGCUCUUUCCGGAUGAGUUGCGAACGGGUGAGUAACGCGUAGGUAACCUGUCUGGUAGCGGGGGAUAACUAUUGGAAACGAUAGCUAAUACCGCAUAACAGUAGAUGUUGCAUGAUAUCUACUUAAAAGGUGCAAUUGCACCACUACCAGAUGGACCUGCGUUGUAUUAGCUAGUUGGUGAGGUAACGGCUCACCAAGGCGACGAUACAUAGCCGACCUGAGAGGGUGAUCGGCCACACUGGGACUGAGACGCGGCCCAGACUCCUACGGGAGGCAGCAGUAGGGAAUCUUCGGCAAUGGACGGAAGUCUGACCGAGCAACGCCGCGUGAGUGAAGAAGGUUUUCGGAUCGUAAAGCUCUGUUGUAAGAGAAGAACGAGUGUGAGAGUGGAAAGUUCACACUGUGACGGUAUCUUACCAGAAAGGGACGGCUAACUACGUG